GACGAACGCUGGCGGCGUGCUUAACACAUGCAAGUCGAGCAGUAAGGCCCCUUCGGGGUACGACGAGCGGCGAACGGGUGAGUAACACGUGGGUGACCUGCCCUCAGCUCUGGGAUAAGCCUGGGAAACUGGGUCUAAUACCGGAUAUGACUCCAUGACGCAUGUCGUGGGGUGGAAAGCCUUGUGCGGCUGGGGAUGGGCCCGCGGCCUAUCAGCUUGUUGGUGGGGUGANGGCCUACCAAGGCGACGACGGGUAGCCGGCCUGAGAGGGCGACCGGCCACACUGGGACUGAGACACGGCCCAGACUCCUACGGGAGGCAGCAGUGGGGAAUCUUGCGCAAUGGGCGAAAGCCUGACGCAGCGACGCCGCGUGAGGGAUGACGGCCUGGUGUAAC
rnacentral:rRNA from 1 species